rnacentral:lncRNA from 1 species
AUGACUCCAUAAUCAUCAAAGAAUCCUGUCAGUACUGAUUUCUUUGCAGUGUUCAUUGGAUUAUUUAAGUCUACAAACCAAUGAUACAAAUGUAAUAUGAAACAAUUGCUAGGAAGCUAAUUGGCAUAUUUUACUCACAGCCCAUUUUAUUUUCGCACAGCAGUUUACUUAAAAAGUUUUCUACUCAAUAAUCUGAGCCUGCAUGUCCAAUAUGGCUGCCACCAUACACACAUGGCUGCUUAUAUAUAAAGUAAUUACUGUGAAGUGAAUUGUAAAAUUCAAUUUCUCAGUUGCAGUGCUCACAUUGCAAGUUCUCAGUAGCUACCUGAGCCUUUGGGGCACUGUGGUAGUAUCAGGUUUCUAUUAUUCUGCAAAGAGCUAUUGGACAGCUCUUCACAGAGAAGGCUGCACACAGGAAGAGGGAAGAGAGACAGAUGUGAUGGCUUUGAGGCAGGCAUGCGAAUUGAUCCAUCCAUGGUUCACUGAAGGCCUCUGGAAUCAGAGAAUCAGAGAGAGAACUCAGCAAUGAGAAAAGAAAGAACCUGUAAGGAGACCUCAGUCCCAAGCACACUGAUUGUUCCUGGCUAGGUCUUCUCACUUCAUGAAUAUUUAUCCUAUUGCCCCCAGUGAGGCUAUGAAUGGGUCAAUAAACAAAACUGUCUCUGAAAGAAAAAGACAGAGGUCAAAGGUGGCUCAUGUGGAUCACUGAUGAGUACCCUGGGGUGUCUGAAUGGAGGGCUUUGACUAAGCCCUGUCACUCAGAGGUCCAUCGUGAAAAAUCCCAUUUAUUAUCUCUUUGGGAUAUGAGCUUAGUCUGGCUAUCUAUAAUAACAUGGGCAGUAUUCUUGGGCUUCUGUGCACUAAAGCAGUGUAUGAAUCAACUAAGAACCCUAUAAAGGAGCACUAACAAAAUGGGUCAUUGCUCUUUCAAAUAUGUGAGUAGUUAUAAUAAGAAUCUUUACUAAUGUAUUUAUGAAGCUUGACAUUCUAGCAAUGUAUUGAUCAAGGCUGAUGCCAUGGGGCAAGGAACAUUUGGAUAGAUGUUUGUUCUUUUGACAUGUUGUGUGUUUUUUAAAAGGAAGAGCAAAAUAUUUAUUUAAGACGAUUAUUAACUAAAUAAAAUCUGAGUAGAAGAGGGCUUAUACAUGAAUCCAGGCUGACAGCUCGCCCCAGAUGAACAAGUAGGGCUUCUGUUUUACUUUCCUCUGUAUUUCAAUUCUGACCCUCACUUUAAUUUAAAUAAUUAGAGACAUGUGUUAAUCCUUCCAUGACUGAACAUAUAAUGUAAUCUGGAAUUAAUCUAUUGUUCCAUUUUUUGUGGAAUCACAGUUGUAAUGGCAUUUUCAUAUAUAGAAAAAGGACAUUACUAUCUCAAUUAAUCAAGCUAAGCUGCAGGACCUUUUAUUAUGAGAGAAGUGGACAGUUACAGUACCACCUGAAUUGGAGAAACCUAAUAAGUGGAGCACCUCACAUUUUUCCUAUAUUUUUCUAUUAUUUAUUUAUUUAGACAUAAUACAAUAUUAUAAAUUUUUUGUUUUGUUCCUUGAAGUUGCAGGGUCAAAGAGUUACAUAUGCAAGCAAAUAUAUAUAUUCACACAUUGCAUAGGCUCCUGCAGAGACACCUUGCCUAGGUCCAGUCGGAAUAUUUUACUCUUGACAGACCCAUGAACCAGUCUUGGUGUUCAUGCUUGUAUCUAGUCUGCAGUUAUUGGAAAGUCACUACUUAUUGUAAUCUCAGUGGCUUUGCCAGCGAGCUUAUUCCUUAGUCCCAUCAAUUUUAGUUGAGCUAUAAUAAUCUGAGUACUUUUGGCUAUAAAAAUCUGAGUUUAGACUUGAGCUUCCUAUCUGACCAUCUGUACCAUGAACUAUUAAUUUUCAUUUUUUUUUACUGCCUUGUCCUCGGAAUGCAUACACCAGUCCCCGUUGCUCUCAGCUUAGGAAGGAAUGGGUGGUUAUCUUUCUGAGUCUUUGUUGCUCAUAACCACUGGCUUCCCAGUUCACUGUCAGUCUCUGUCCUAAUAUCAGAGGGG